GCCCUCUUGGCGCAGCAGGCAGCGCGUCAGUCUCAUAAUCUGAAGGUCCUGAGUUCGAGCCUCAGAGAGGGCA
rnacentral:tRNA from 1 species